rnacentral:rRNA from 1 species
AGUGAACGCUGGCGGUAGGCCUAACACAUGCAAGUCGAACGGCAGCACAGUAAGAGCUUGCCCUUACGGGUGGCGAGUGGCGGACGGGUGAGGAAUACAUCGGAAUCUACUUUUUCGUGGGGGAUAACGUAGGGAAACUUACGCUAAUACCGCAUACGACCUACGGGUGAAAGCAGGGGAUCUUCGGACCUUGCGCGAUUGAAUGAGCCGAUGUCGGAUUAGCUAGUUGGCGGGGUAAAGGCCCACCAAGGCGACGAUCCGUAGCUGGUCUGAGAGGAUGAUCAGCCACACUGGAACUGAGACACGGUCCAGAAUCCUACGGGAGGCAGCAGUGGGGAAUAUUGGACAAUGGGCGCAAGCCUGAUCCAGCCCUACCGCGUGGGUGAAGAAGGCCUUCGGGUUGUAAAGCCCUUUUGUUGGGAAAGAAAAGCAGCAGGUUAAUACCCCGCUGUUCUGACGGUACCCAAAGAAUAAGCACCGGCUAACUUCGUG